rnacentral:rRNA from 1 species
UUGAAUUUUGCGUAAAAAGCAUUGUUAUAUAUAUUAUGCUUGGGAUAGACUUUUGUAACUAUUAGUCUUGAACGAGGAAUUCCUUGUAAAUACAAAUCAUUAGUUUGUAUUGAUUGCGUCCCUGCCCU